GUUUGUUUGAAGAAUUAUACCAAAAUGUGUAAACAUGAUUAUCUUUGGCAAUAACAACUUGCUGGGCCUUUAACAGGCAUAGCAGCAGAAGUAGGCAGAGGAAGCUCAUGGCUUAGCGGAAUCUGCUUCUUCUGGAUCAGGAACUUUCUUACAGUGUGAAGCGUGUAUCCAGGUGUUCUUCCCAGCCAAUUUUACUGAGGUAGACGUGGUCAAUAGGACUUGGAAUGGACCAUCAAACCUUGGCUCAAGAGUGUGUUUUCUUAGGAAUUUCUUGCCCAUAACCCAGUCACCAGGAAGUAGCUUAUGUGUGCCUGUAUUUGACUCUGGAUCUGGAAUAGAAGAAAACACCUGCGCAUGGAUU